AAACUGUUGUGGUUGUCAACUGGAUUGUCUUCCUAAAGUAUGAAUCUGGUAUAUGUUGAUUGAAGUUGUUAAUGGCUACUUCUUUACGGAUUCAUAUGGGGGAACGAAUGAAGCACACAGGCCUACAACAAAAAACAAAACACGAAACAAACAGGAAGGUAUGUAUUGGGUGGAGGAGCAUUAUAUAUGGAACUUCUCACAAAACAGCUGAAAGAGUAUCAGCAGAGGAACAGCCCUGGUGUUCCGGCAGGAGCGAAGACAAAGAAGAAAAAAACUGGAAGUAGCCCUGAGACAGCCACUUCUGGUGGUUGCCACUCACCUGAGGAUUCCUCCUCCAACUCAUCCUCUCUAUAUGCGCCUCAGAGCCGGUACCAAGAACUAGCGGUAGCCCUGGACUCAAACUCUACGACAAUCAGUCACCUUAAUGAAAACAUAGAAUCAUUGAAACAACAGAAGAAACAAGUGGAACAUCAGCUGGAAGAAGAGAAGAAAGCAAACAAUGAAAUACACAAAGCGCAAAUGGAGCAGUUAGAGACAAUCAACAUCCUCAUGUUGGAAAAGGCAGACUUGAAGACCACCCUUUACCAUACUAAACGUGCCACCAGACACUUUGAAGAAGAGUCCAAGGAUCUGGCCAGCCGCCCGCAAUACUCCUUGCAGCGUACUCAAGAAUUGGAGUGGGCUCUCUCUGCUGUGCCUACACAGCAGCAGGAAGAGGACAGGGUGAGUCCAACCAGCUGUCCCGUCCCCUGGCAGCCUGGCUUGCCAGAUGGAGGAGUGAGCCUAAAGCUCCCUUCUGCAGGAUGCAGUGUCCUGCCCAGAAGGCAGCAGGAUCAUUUCAAGCUGCUUUUGUGUUUGGUUGUUAGAGGCAGCCUGGGGCUGAGUCAGCUGCUGUGGGUGUGUUGGGGGCACUGUGGGCAGUGA
rnacentral:lncRNA from 10 species